rfam:Cavia porcellus supercont2_54 genomic scaffold, whole genome shotgun sequence.
GCCAGGGCUGGUGGUACUCGCGUGUAGUCCCAGCUAUUUGGGAGGCUGAGGUUGAGAGGAUGGCUUGAGUCCAGGAGUACUGGGCUGCAGUGCUCUAUGCAGAUCAGGUGUCCUUACUAAGUUUGGCAUCAAUAUGGUGAACUACACGUAACUGGGGCCCACCAGGUUACCUAUGGAGGUGAGAACUGGCCCAGGUCAGAAAUGGAGCAGGUCAAAAGAUUGUUGGGAGCUCUGUGCCUGGGGCCUCUGAUGGGCAUUUGAAUCAACUGUAGAGAAAUACCUCUCAACUUUUU